rnacentral:rRNA from 1 species
UACAGAGGUCUCAAGCGUUGUUCGGAUUCAUUGGGCGUAAAGGGUGUGUAGGUGGCGCCGUAAGUCGGGUGUGAAAUUUCGGAGCUUAACUCCGAAACUGCAUUCGAUACUGCGGUGCUUGAGUCCGGGAGAGGUGAGUGGAACUGCGAGUGUAGAGGUGAAAUUCGUAGAUAUUGGGAAGAACACCGGUGGCGAAGGCGGCGACCUGGUUCAUUACUGACGCUGAGGCGCGAAAGCGUGGGGAGCAAACAGG